CCUACGGGAGGCAGCAGUGAGGAAUAUUGGUCAAUGGGCGAGAGCCUGAACCAGCCAAGUCGCGUGAGGGAGUACUGCCCUAUGGGUUGUAAACCUCUUUUGUCGGGGAGCAAAAGCCGGACGUGUCCUAUUUUGUAUGUACCUUAUGAAUAAGGAUCGGCUAACUCCGUGCCAGCAGCCGCGGUAAUACGGAGGAUCCGAGCGUUAUCCGGAUUUAUUGGGUUUAAAGGGUGCGUAGGCGGCCUUUUAAGUCAGCGGUGAAAGUCUGUGGCUCAACCAUAGAAUUGCCGUUGAAACUGGGGGGCUUGAGUAUGUUUGAGGCAGGCGGAAUGCGUGGUGUAGCGGUGAAAUGCUUAGAUAUCACGCAGAACCCCGAUUGCGAAGGCAGCCUGCCAAGCCAUGACUGACGCUGAUGCACGAAAGCGUGGGGAUCAAACAGGAUUAGAUACCCUGGUAGUC
rnacentral:rRNA from 1 species